UCGCCCAACGACCGGGACAACGUUCCGAAAGGAGCGCUAAUACCGGAUGUGCCCAUCGGGUGACAUCUCCUGAUGAGUAAAUCGCGCAAUCGGCUUUGGGAGGGGCUUGCGGCCUAUCAGCUAGAUGGUGGGGUAACGGCCUACCAUGGCGACGACGGGUAGCUGGUCUGAGAGGAUGGCCAGCCACAUUGGGACUGAGAGACGGCCCAG
rnacentral:rRNA from 1 species